rnacentral:rRNA from 1 species
UACGUAGGGUGCGAGCGUUAAUCGGAAUUACUGGGCGUAAAGGGUGCGCAGGCGGUUCUGCAAGUCAGGCGUGAAAGCCCCGGGCUUAACCUGGGAAUGGCGCUUGAAACUACAGGACUGGAGUAUGGCAGAGGGAGGUGGAAUUCCACGUGUAGCGGUGAAAUGCGUAGAGAUGUGGAGGAACACCGAUGGCGAAGGCAAUCCCCUGGGCCUGCACUGACGCUCAUGCACGAAAGCGUGGGGAGCAAACAGG